GACGUAGGGCGCGAGCGUUGUCCGGAUUUAUUGGGCGUAAAGAGCUCGUAGGCGGUCUGUCACGUCGGCUGUGAAAUCCCGAGGCUCAACCUCGGGUCUGCAGUCGAUACGGGCAAACUAGAGUACUGCAGGGGAGACUGGAAUUCCUGGUGUAGCGGUGAAAUGCGCAGAUAUCAGGAGGAACACCGGUGGCGAAGGCGGGUCUCUGGGCAGUAACUGACGCUGAGGAGCGAAAGCGUGGGGAGCGAACAGG
rnacentral:rRNA from 1 species